rnacentral:tRNA from 1 species
GCGUCGUUGGUUCAGUGGUAGAAUUCUUGCCUUCCAUAUGGGAGACCCAGGUUCCAUUCCUGGCCAGUGUA